rnacentral:rRNA from 1 species
UGGGGAAUAUUGCACAAUGGGCGCAAGCCUGAUGCAGCCAUGCCGCGUGUGUGAAGAAGGCCUUCGGGUUGUAAAGCACUUUCAGCGAGGAGGAAGGUGGUGAGCUUAAUACGCUCAUCAAUUGACGUUACUCGCAGAAGAAGCACCGGCUAACUCCGUGCCAGCAGCCGCGGUAAUACGGAGGGUGCAAGCGUUAAUCGGAAUUACUGGGCGUAAAGCGCACGCAGGCGGUUUGUUAAGUCAGNUGUGAAAUCCCCGGGCUCAACCUGGGAACUGCAUUUGAAACUGGCAAGCUAGAGUCUCGUAGAGGGGGGUAGAAUUCCAGGUGUAGCGGUGAAAUGCGUAGAGAUCUGGAGGAAUACCGGUGGCGAAGGCGGCCCCCUGGACGAAGACUGACGCUCAGGUGCGGAAGCGUGGGGCAGCAAACAGGAUUAGAUACCCUGGUAGUCACGCUGUAAACGAUGUCGAUUUUGGAGGUUGUGCCCUUGAGGCGUGGCUUCCGGAGCUAACGCGUUAAA